rnacentral:tRNA from 1 species
GUCGUCAUGGUGAAAUCGGUAGACACGCUGCUCUCAGGAAGCAGUGCCAGAGCAUCUCGGUUCGAGUCCGAGUGGCAGUU